rnacentral:rRNA from 1 species
GUGUGUCGUCGUCGGCGAGUCCUACGAGAGUAGUUGAUCUGGCUCAGGAUGAACGCUGGCGGCGUGCCUAAUACAUGCAAGUGAAACGGGUAUCUUCGGAUACCAGUCGCGGACGGGUGAGUAAUACAUAGGCAACCUGCCUUUAUGAGGGGGAUAACCGAGGGAAACUUUGGCUAAUACCGCAUGAAGACUCUAAGGCAUCUUAGAGGGAUAAAAGUUGGGAAACAACGCAUGAAGAUGGGCUUAUGGCGCAUUAGCUAGUUGGUGAGAUAGAAGCCCACCAAGGUAAUGAUGCGUAGCCGACCUGAGAGGGUGAACGGCCACAUUGGGACUGAGACACGGCCCAAACUCCUACGGGAGGCAGCAGUAGGGAAUUUUCGGCAAUGGGGGGAACCCUGACCGAGCAACGCCGCCGUGAAGGAAGAAGGUUUUCGGAUUGUAAACUUCUGUUAUAAGGGAAGAACGGAUUGGAUAGGGAAUGAUCUGAUAGUGACGGUACCUUAUUAGAAAGCCACGGCUAACUACGUGCCAGCCGCUGC